rnacentral:rRNA from 1 species
GAUGAACGCUGGCGGCGUGCCUAAUACAUGCAAGUCGAGCGAACAGACGAGGAGCUUGCUCCUCUGACGUUAGCGGCGGACGGGUGAGUAACACGUGGAUAACCUACCUAUAAGACUGGGAUAACUUCGGGAAACCGGAGCUAAUACCGGAUAAUAUAUUGAACCGCAUGGUUCAAUAGUGAAAGACGGUUUUGCUGUCACUUAUAGAUGGAUCCGCGCCGCAUUAGCUAGUUGGUAAGGUAACGGCUUACCAAGGCAACGAUGCGUAGCCGACCUGAGAGGAUGAUCGGCCACACUGGAACUGAGACACGGUCCAGACUCCUACGGGAGGCAGCAGUAGGGAAUAUUCCACAAUGGGCGAAAGCCUGACGGAGCAACGCCGCGUGAGUGAUGAAGGUCUUCGGAUCGUAAAACUCUGUUAUUAGGGAAGAAAAAAUGUGUAAGUAACUCUGCACGUCUUGACGGUACCUAAUCAGAAAGCCACGGCUAACUACGUG